rnacentral:rRNA from 1 species
GACGAACGCUGGCGGCGUGCCUAAUACAUGCAAGUCGAACGCUGAAGGAGGAGCUUGCUUCUCUGGAUGAGUUGCCAACGGGUGAGUAACGCGUAGGUAACCUGCCUGGUAGCGGGGGAUAACUAUUGGAAACGAUAGCUAAUACCGCAUAAGAGUAGAUGUUGCAUGACAUUUGCUUAAAAGGUGCAAUUGCUUCCCUACCAUAUGGACCUGCGUUGUAUUAGCUAGUUGGUGGGGUAACGGCUUACCAAGGCGACGAUACAUAGCCGACCUGAGAGGGGGAUCGGCCACACUGGGACUGGGACACGGCCCAGACUUCUUCGGGAGGCAGCAGGAGGGAAUCUUCGGGAAUGGACGGAAGGCUGACCGAGGAACGCCGCGGGAGGGAAGAAGGGUUUCGGGUCGGAAAGGUCUGUUGUAAGAGAAGAAAGGGUGUGAGAGUAGAAAGUUCACACUGUGACGGUACCUUACCAGAAAGAGACGGCUAACUACGUG